AGCGAACGCUGGCGGCAUGCCUAACACAUGCAAGUCGAACGAGACCUUCGGGUCUAGUGGCGCACGGGUGCGUAACGCGUGGGAACCUGCCCUUAGGUUCGGAAUAACUCCCCGAAAGGGGUGCUAAUACCGGAUAAUGUCUUCGGACCAAAGAUUUAUCGCGUUUGGAUGGGCCCGCGUUGGAUUAGCUAGUUGGUAGGGUAAAAGCCUACCAAGGCGACGAUCCAUAGCUGGUCUGAGAGGAUGAUCAGCCACACUGGGACUGAGACACGGCCCAGACUCCUACGGGAGGCAGCAGUGGGGAAUAUUGGACAAUGGGCGAAAGCCUGAUCCAGCAAUGCCGCGUGAGUGAUGAAGGCCUUAGGGUUGUAAAGCUCUUUUACCCGGGAUGAUAAGGACAGUACCGGGAGAAUAAGCUCCGGCUAACUCCGG
rnacentral:rRNA from 1 species